rnacentral:rRNA from 1 species
GAUGAACGCUGGCGGCGUGCUUAACACAUGCAAGUCGAACGAUGAACCGGGUGCUUGCACUCGGGGAUUAGUGGCGAACGGGUGAGUAACACGUGAGCAACCUGCCCCUGACUCUGGGAUAAGCGCUGGAAACGGCGUCUAAUACUGGAUAUGUCCCGUCACCGCAGGGUGUGCGGGUGGAAAGAUUUUUCGGUUGGGGCUGGGCUCGCGGCCUGUCAGCUUGUUGGUGAGGUAAUGGCUCACCAAGGCGUCGACGGGUAGCCGGCCUGAGAGGGUGACCGGCCACACUGGGACUGGGACACGGCCCAGACUCCUACGGGAGGCAGCAGUGGGGAAUAUUGCACAAUGGGCGGAAGCCUGAUGCAGCAACGCCGCGUGAGGGAUGACGGCCUUCGGGUUGUAAACCUCUUUUAGCAGGGAAGAAGCGAGAGUGACGGUACCUGCAGAAAAAGCACCGGCUAACUACGUGCCAGCCGCCGCCGUAA